rnacentral:rRNA from 1 species
GACGAACGCUGGCGGCGUGCUUAACACAUGCAAGUCGAACGGAAAGGCCCUGCUUUUGUGGGGUGCUCGAGUGGCGAACGGGUGAGUAACACGUGAGUAACCUGCCCUUGACUUUGGGAUAACUUCAGGAAACUGGGGCUAAUACCGGAUAGGAGCUCCUGCUGCAUGGUGGUGGUUGGAAAGUUUCGGCGGUUGGGGAUGGACUCGCGGCUUAUCAGCUUGUUGGUGGGGUAGUGUCUUACCAAGGCUUUGACGGGUAGCCGGCCUGAGAGGGUGACCGGCCACAUUGGGACUGAGAUACGGCCCAGACUCCUACGGGAGGCAGCAGUGGGGAAUAUUGCACAAUGGGUGGAAGCCUGACGCAGCAACGCCGCGUGCGGGAUGACGGCCUUCGGGUUGUAAACCGCUUUCGCCUGUGACGAAGCGUGAGUGACGGUAAUGGGUAAAGAAGCACCGGCUAACUACGUG